rnacentral:rRNA from 1 species
AGUGAACGCUGGCGGUAGGCCUAACACAUGCAAGUCGAACGGCAGCACAGUAAGAGCUUGCUCUUACGGGUGGCGAGUGGCGGACGGGUGAGGAAUACAUCGGAAUCUACUUUUUCGUGGGGGAUAACGUAGGGAAACUUACGCUAAUACCGCAUACGACCUACGGGUGAAAGCAGGGGAUCUUCGGACCUUGCGCGAUUGAAUGAGCCGAUGUCGGAUUAGCUAGUUGGCGGGGUAAAGGCCCACCAAGGCGACGAUCCGUAGCUGGUCUGAGAGGAUGAUCAGCCAAACUGGAACUGAGACACGGACCAGACUCCUACGGGAGGCAGAAGUGGGGAAUAUUGGACGAUGGGCGCAAGCCUGGUCCAGCCAUACCGCGUGGGUGAAGAAGGCGUUCGGGUUGUAAAGCCCUUUUGUUGGGAAAGAAAAGCAGCAGGUUAAUACCCCGCUGUUCUGACGGUACCCAAAGAAUAAGCACCGGCUAACUUCGUG